AUUGAACGCUGGCGGCAGGCUUAACACAUGCAAGUCGAGCGGAGAUGAGGUGCUUGCACCUUAUCUUAGCGGCGGACGGGUGAGUAAUGCUUAGGAAUCUGCCAUUUAGUGGGGGACAACAUUCCGAAAGGAAUGCCAAUACCGCAUACGUCCUACGGGAGAAAGCAGGGGAUCUUCGGACCUUGCGCUAAAUGAUGAGCCUAAGUCGGAUUAGCUAGUUGGUGGGGUAAAGGCCUACCAAGGCGACGAUCUGUAGCGGGUCUGAGAGGAUGAUCCGCCACACUGGGACUGAGACACGGCCCAGACUCCUACGGGAGGCAGAAGUGGGGAAUAUUGGACAAUGGGCGGAAGCCUGAUCCAGCCAUGCCGCGUGUGUGAAGAAGGUCUUUUGGUUGUAAAGCACUUUAAGCGAGGAGGAGGCUACUAGUACUAAUACUACUGGAUAGUGGACGUUACUCGCAGAAUAAGCACCGGCUAACUCUGUGCCAGCAGCCGCAGUAAUAC
rnacentral:rRNA from 1 species